AUCCCGAACUCGGCCGUGAAAAGCCUCCGCGCCAAUGGUACUGCGUCUUAAGACGUGGGAGAGUAGGUCGCCGCCAGGU
rnacentral:rRNA from 1 species